rnacentral:sRNA from 1 species
GUGAAAGAGAAUUGGCUGUGGUAUCUAUCACUCUAUUGAUCACCAGGGUUGAUUAAACUGAUUUGCCUGGCUAGACAGUCUUCUUUUCUCAC